UACAGAGGAGCCAAGCGUUGUCCGGAUUGACUGGGCGUAAAGCGCACGCAGGCGGACGCGCGCGUGGGGUGUGAAAUCUGGCCGCUUAACGGCCAGGCGCCCAUCCCAUACGGCGCGUCUGGAGUGAUGCAGAGGUCGAUGGAAUUGCCGGUGUAGUGGUGGAAUGCGUAGAGAUCCGGAGGAACACCAGCGGCGAAGGCGGCAUCCUGGACUGGUCCUGACACUCAGGAGCGAAAGCGUGGGGAGCGAUCCGG
rnacentral:rRNA from 1 species